ACCAUUAUAGUUUAACGGUAGAAUGGGCGCUUCCCACUGAUUCGUCUGCGCUCGGCAAGGGUUCGACUCCCUUUGAUGGUA